rnacentral:rRNA from 1 species
GAUGAACGCUGGCGGCGUGCUUAACACAUGCAAGUCGAACGAAGCACUUUAAAACAAUCUUUCGGGUGCGUUUUAUUGUGACUUAGUGGCGGACGGGUGAGUAACGCGUGGGUAACCUGCCUCAUGCAGGGGGAUAACAGUUAGAAAUGACUGCUAAUACCGCAUAAGCGCACAGUACCGCAUGGUACAGUGUGAAAAGAUUUAUCAGCAUGAAAUGGACCCGCGUCUGAUUAGCUAGUUGGUGAGGUAACGGCUCACCAAGGCGACGAUCAGUAGCCGACUUGAGAGAGUGAUCGGCCACAUUGGGACUGAGACACGGCCCAAACUCCUACGGGAGGCAGCAGUGGGGAAUAUUGCACAAUGGGGAAAACCCUGAUGCAGCGACGCCGCGUGAGCGAUGAAGUAUUUCGGUAUGUAAAGCUCUAUCAGCAAGGAAGAUAAUGACGGUACUUGACUAAGAAGCCCCGGCUAACUACGUGCCAGCCGCCGCCGUAAAAC